ACCCACUCACCUGCGGCUGGUCUGCUCCCUCCAGUCUCUGGCCCAGACCCCACUCUGGGAGGAAGAGGGUGCCCAGGAGGACAUACAGGUGAGUCUUCUGCCCUUGCUCCCUCCUGAGCAUUGGCUGAGAUGUGCGGCCUUCUUUUAGGCUUUUCAGGCCACGAGGCUGUCCCAAAGAAGCCAAGAGGGAAGGGAACAACCCUGAGAUAUGGAGACUGUCCUGCCAGAGUUGGGCUGUGCGGUCACCUGGCCCCGGAGGUGGCAAGCGAAGAGAGGGGCAGGAAGGUGGAGGCAGUGCCACCUCCAGAAUCAUUCCUGCCUGGCACCUGCAGCCCUGCAGACCGGCAGACAGGACGGGAGGCUGUGCCUGACUCCUGCAUCCCAAGCCACGAUGAGCUCCGCCGCUGCCUCCCUGCUCGGGGCCCUGCUGCUGGUCAGCGAAAUCUGCUCUGUCCGUGGGAUCCUGGAGACCAACGGGAUGAAGCUCCAGUGCACCUGCUUGAGAAAGAUAAAUAAAUUCAUCCCUCCGGCCAAGUACCAGAAACUGGAGGUCUCCCUCCCCAGCAGUGGCUGCCGGACCCUGGAGGUCAUCAUCACUCUCAAGGAAGGGAAUAUAGUGUGUGUGAAUGCCCACAUCCCAUGGGUGAAGAAAAUCCUUCAAUCCCUCACCAAGGGGAGGAGCCUCUCACUGCCUUUCAACGAUCUGGGGCCGGUCGCGGAGUCCCCCAGAGCCCCAAGGAGGAGGGUGCCACAUCCCAGCCCCCAGGGCCUGGGCUUCACCCCGGCUUGAGGCCCAGAACUCCUGCCCUCGAGGGCCACGAAAGGCCAGGGAAGGCGCCGGCCCCUUGGAAACUCAGCUUGCUGCAACUCCCGCCGGGUCUGCUUUUCUAUGGCUCUGCCCGUGCAGGUCGCUGACUCACCCUGUGCCCACAGGGGCCGGCCCGGAUCGGGAGGGAACUCUUGGGGAAUUGACCCCAAUCCACCGCCUUGGAGAUAACCCCAAUCCACGAGAUUGGCAUCGUGUCUGCCCAGCCCCUCAGCCUUCCUCUCCACAGAGCCCAGCCUCCGCCCCAGCUAGCCACCAGCCCCUGACACACCGGCUUCGCUUCUCCGACUUGGCCCCCGACACUCUCUCUGCUAGGGGCUUCUCGACCUCCAUCCUCUCUGCUCUCCUUGCCCUCCCUUCCUUCAAAGAGGUUACCUCUUGACGGGCUCCCUUGACAGGGGGUCGCCUUUCGAAAUUUGGAUUCCAUCAAAAACCGACUCUUCAUUCAUUCAUUCUACUGCAUUUAUUGAGUGAUUACUAUAGGCAAAGCACUAUACUAAGUGCUUGGGAGAGUACAAUACAGCAAUAACAGGCUCAUUCCCUGCCCACAACAACCUUACAAUCUAGAGGGGGACCAUUCACCACCUUCCAGGAAUCUCCACACCACAAUCUGAUUGGUGCCCCUGACCAGAUCUGGUUGGUGGGCAAAUUUGCUUAUUGAGAGCCCUCCUCUGGUCAAAAUACUGUCUCCUCCCUCGGGCCAUUUUCCCAAAAUAACUCCAAUCAAUCAUUCACAUUUACUGAGCACUAACUGUGUGAAGAGCACUGCACUAAAUGCUUGGAAGCAUACAAUAUGACAGAGCUGGUAGACACAUUCGCUGCCCACAACGAGCUUACGGUCUAGAGGGGCUUCUGUCAUACGAGCCCUCCGGUUCUCCCUGCGUGUGUGGCACUAAACAGUUCCACUGAAGAUGGAAAAGCCAACAUUUGGCUUUUUUAGAAAAAAUUGUAUUUGUUGAGUGCUUUCAAUGUGCUAGGUACUGUCCUAAGCCCUGGGGUAGAUGCAAGUUGAUCAGGUUGGACACAGUCUAUGUCCCACAUGGGGCUCACAGUCUUCAUCCUCAUUUUACAGAUGAGGUAACUGAGGCACAGAGAAGUUAAGUGAUUCACCCAAGGUCCCACAGUAGACAAGUCAUGGAGCCAGAAUUAGAACCCAAGUCCUCUGACUCCCAGGCUCUUGCUCUUUCUAUUGGGUCAUGCUGCUUCUCUUGCCCCCUCCUACAGAAAGGGAUAUUUCCCAGCAGCUCCAGCAAAAGGCAGGGUUGCCUAGGUAGUUGAAUAAAAGGGCUCGAGGAGUGGAAGAACAGUUAUAAGGGUUUAGCAUGAAAUAGUGGCUACAGCACAGGCCUGGCAGUCAGAAGGUCAUGGGUUCUAAUCCUUCCUCCGCCACUUGUCUGCUGUGUGAUCUUGGACAAGACGCUUCACUUCUCUGGGCCUCAAUGCCUCAUCUGUAAGAUAGGAAUUGAGACUGCGAGCCCCACAUGGGAGAGGGACUGCGUCCAACCCAAUUUGCUUGUACCCACCCCGGAGCUUAGUACGGUGUUGGGCACGGAGUAAGAGCUUAACAAAUACCACAGUUAUCAUUAUUAAUAUUAUUAUUAUGUUAAAGGAGCAAAACUGGCUUCCCUGGCCAUGGCCUUGUUGACUGGUGGUCAAUCCACCCCCGCUUAGGGAUGUGGUAUAUUAGGUGAUAUAUAUUAGGUGAUAGACCUCCAAGAUUCCCAUCGCUGUUUGCCAGUGGGACAGCCUCUCUAGCCCUGGAUCCCAGCCCUGAUCAGUUUUCCUGAUCGAGGCUGUAUCCCUUCUUCCCUCCCACCCCUUCCUCAUUUCCCCCAUGACCCAAUGCUGGCUUCUCCUGCUGUCCCUCCACCCUUUCUUCCCACAUGACCCAGGCUGGCAGCCCUGGGGACAAAGUCUGCUCUUUCCUGCAAAUGGGAAGGGCAGUGAGGGCAUUUAUUCCAGGGACAUCUUACUUCUGAAAGAGGCCAAAGCUGUGGUUUAUCAUCUUACUGUCGUGUUAGUCCAGAUCCCGAACUUAGCCUUCCUUUCCACCAUCUGGUUACCGAUUAAAGCUUGUUUUGCCAACUGGUUCACGUUUCAUUUGAAUCUGUCUGAUUUCUGCUGGGUGGGUGGUGGCAGGGAGCAGAGAGCUAAACGAAGAUCAGAGGUCAGCUCCGGACACUGCCCACUAGGUGCCGGGAGCCUUCACCCUUCC
rnacentral:lncRNA from 1 species